GAUGAACGCUGGCUACAGGCUUAACACAUGCAAGUCGAGGGGCAGCAUGCCGGUUGCUUGCAACCGGUGAUGGCGACCGGCGCACGGGUGAGUAACGCGUAUCCAACCUUCCCGCGACCAAGGGAUAACCUGCCGAAAGGCAGACUAAUACCUUAUGUCCUCCUUUGAAGGCAUCUGACGAGGAGCAAAGAUCCGUCGGUCACGGAUGGGGAUGCGUCCGAUUAGCUUGUUGGCGGGGCAACGGCCCACCAAGGCUUCGAUCGGUAGGGGUUCUGAGAGGAAGGCCCCCCACACUGGAACUGAGACACGGUCCAGACUCCUACGGGAGGCAGCAGUGAGGAAUAUUGGUCAAUGGGCGGAAGCCUGAACCAGCCAAGUAGCGUGCAGGAUGACGGCCCUACGGGUUGUAAACUGCUUUUAUGCGGGGAUAAAGUUGCCCACGCGUGGGCUUUUGCAGGUACCGCAAAUAAGGACGG
rnacentral:rRNA from 1 species